AUGGAAAAGGGACUUCAAAGCUCAGAAGAGACGGUCCCACUUCUAUCAGGGUCUUCCCUCUUUCAUAAGGCUCUAACUUGCGUAAGGAAUCAAGGAGCUACAGGAGUAUACCGCCGAGUACUUACUAUCUUGGAUAGCUUUUUGCACUUGACUGGGUGGACAGUUGACCGGAAGAUAACUUCGAUUCGCCCGGCCAGCAGGCGGGCGGCGUGCUUAUCUUGUGUGACAACACUACAGAGCGAGUAG
rnacentral:rRNA from 1 species